rnacentral:misc_RNA from 1 species
UCCCCGUUACCGGGGCAGUCUGGCUAGAAAAAUACAACUAACCACAAGGGUUGCGCUCGUUGAUGGACUUAACCAAACAUCUCACGACACGAGCUGACGACGGCCAUGCAACACCUGUCACUGAGUUCCCCUUGCAGAUUACGAUUCGCCGGAUAUUUUACUAUAUCCAAUCAUAACCUAUAAGGGGCACUCACUGCUUUCACAGUAAUUCUCAGGAUGUCAAGCCUUGGUAAGGUUCUUCGCUUAUCAUCGAAUUAAACAACACGCUCCACCGCUUGUGCGGGUCCCCGUCAAUUCCUUUGAGUUUUAGUCUUGCGACCGUACUCCCCAGGCGGGAUACUUAACGCGUUAGCUUCGCUACAUACCGGGUCGAUACGGCAUACAGCUAGUAUCCAUAGUU